CGGCGAACGGGUGAGUAACACGUGAGCAACCUGCCCCUGACUCUGGGAUAAGCCCGGGAAACUGGGUCUAAUACCGGAUAUGACGCGCCCCGGCAUCGGGUGUGUGUGGAAAGUUUUUCGGUUGGGGAUGGGCUCGCGGCCUAUCAGCUUGUUGGUGGGGUAGUGGCCUACCAAGGCGACGACGGGUAGCCGGCCUGAGAGGGCGACCGGCCACACUGGGACUGAGACACGGCCCAGACUCCUACGGGAGGCAGCAGUGGGGAAUAUUGCGCAAUGGGCGGAAGCCUGACGCAGCGACGCCGCGUGGGGGAUGACGGCCUUCGGGUUGUAAACCUCUUUCAGCAGGGACGAAGUUGACGUGUACCUGCAGAAGAAGCGCCGGCUAACUACGUGCCAGCAGCCGCGGUAAUACGUAGGGCGCAAGCGUUGUCCGGAAUUAUUGGGCGUAAAGAGCUCGUAGGUGGCUGGUCGCGUCUGCCGUGAAAGCCCGCAGCUUAACUGCGGGUCUGCGGUGGAUACGGGCCGGCUAGAGGUAGGCAGGGGCAAGUGGAAUUCCUGGUGUAGCGGUGAAAUGCGCAGAUAUCAGGAGGAACACCGGUGGCGAAGGCGGCUUGCUGGGCCUUACCUGACGCUGAGGAGC
rnacentral:rRNA from 1 species